rfam:Triticum urartu cultivar G1812 contig768485, whole genome shotgun sequence.
UAUGUAGUCCCUUCGUCCCGAAUUAAUUAUCGCAGAAAUUGUUAAAAAUAGAUGUAUUUAGAACUAAAAAUACGUCUAAAUAUAUUCAUUUCUGUGACAAGUAAUUCGGAGCGGAAGGAGUACAUG